rnacentral:rRNA from 1 species
UACGUAGGGUGCAAGCGUUUGUCCGGAAUUAUUGGGCGUAAAGGGCUCGUAGGCGGUCCAUCGCGUCGGGGAGUAGAAAAGCUGGGGCCUUAACCCCAGUCCUGCUUCCGAUGACGGGUGGACUAGAGGUAGGUAGGGGAGAUCGGAAUUCCGGGUGUAGCGGUGGAAUGCGUAGAGAUCCGGAGGAAGACCGGUGGCGAAGGCGGUCUGCUGGGCAGUUUCUGACACUGAUGCGCGACAGCGUGGGGAGCAAACAGG